AUGACGACCACAGCUGCCAUGAACGUGGCCGUCACGCAGCUAUGUGCCCGGGGUCGCCGGCGCAGGCCGGCCGCGCUGCGCCACGAUCACCGGUGGGCGCGCUUGCUCCGCCUCGCCGUCGCCACCAGGGCCGUGCGCCUCGUCUGGGACCAGCUUCUCGCCUGCUCCUCCUGCGGCGGGGGCGGUGGCGCCCGGUACCGCCGGCUCGGCCCGCCGCACGGACCGGACGUGCUGACCCCCGUCCCCAUGGAUGACGACGCCUGCGCGGGCGCUGCCGCCCACGCCGACGCCGACGACGACGCGGCGGAUGUCGAGGACGUGGUCGGCCUCAAGGUCAGCCUGCUCGGGGAUUGCCAGAUCGGCAAGACCAGCUUCAUGGUUAAGUAUGUUGGGGAUGGGGAGGAGCAGAACGGGGGCUUGCAGAUGACAGGCCUGAAUCUGAUGGACAAGACUCUGGCUGUUCGGGGCGCCAGGCUCGCCUUCAACAUCUGGGACGUGGCAGGAGACAGCCAGUCCGCCGACCACGUCCCGAUCGCGUGCAAGGACGCCGUGGCGAUCCUGUUCAUGUUCGAUCUCACCAGCCGGUGCACGCUUAAUAAUGUUACCGAUUGGUACGAGAGGGCCAGGAAAUGGAAUAAGACGGCUAUUCCAAUCCUAAUAGGAACGAAGUUUGACGACUUCGCUCAGCUUCCUCUUGAGAUGCAAUGGACCAUUGUCGAUCAGGCCAGAGCAUACGCAAGAGCGAUGAAGGCGACCCUCUUCUUCUCGAGCGCGACGCACAACAUCAACGUGAACAAGAUCUUCAAGUUCAUCACGGCCAAGCUCUUCAACCUCCCUUGGACGGUGGAGCGGAACCUCACCGUCGGCGAGCCCAUCAUAGACUUCUGA
rnacentral:rRNA from 1 species